CCAAAGAGAGGAAUGCCUUGUGUCAUAAGCAAAAUCAUAGAAGUUCUAAAAAAAGAGUAUGGGAUGUCUUUCCAUUUGUUCGUGUCAUGUCCAAUUUCUUUGAGCAGUGUUUUAUAAUUCUCAUUGUAGAGAUCUUUCAUCUCCCUGAUUAGCUGUAUUCCUAAGUAUUUUAUCAUCUUGAUACCAAAACCUGGCAGAGACACAAGAAAAAAAGAAAACUUCGGGCCAAUAUUCUUGAUGAAUAUCGAUGCAAAAAUCCUCAAGAAAACAAACAAAGAAAAAAAACAACUUGCCAACUGAAUCCAGCAGCACACCAAAAAGCUAAUCCACCAUGAUCAAGUAGGCUUCAUCCCUGGGUUGCAAGAUUGGUUCAACAUACGCAAAUCAAUAAAUGUGAUUCAUCACAUAAACAGAACUAAAGACAAAAACCACAGGAUUAUCUAAAUAGUUGCCAAAAAAGUUUUUGAAAAAAGUCAAUACCCCUUCGUGUUAAAAACUCUCAGUAACUAGUUAUUAAAGGAACAUACCUCAAAAGAGUAAAAGCCAUCUAUGAGAAACCCACAGCCAACAUUCUACUGAAUGGGCAAAAGCUGGAAACAUUCCCAAUGAAAACUGGCACAAGACAAGGUUGUCCUCUCUCCACCACUUCUAUUCAACAUAAUACUGGAAGUCCUAGCCAGAGCAAUCAGGCAAGAGAAAGAAAUAAAAGGCAUCCAAAUAGGAAGAGAUGAAGUUAAACUAUCUGUG
rnacentral:lncRNA from 1 species